AGUGAACGCUGGCGGUAGGCCUAACACAUGCAAGUCGAACGGCAGCACAGUAAGAGCUUGCUCUUACGGGUGGCGAGUGGCGGACGGGUGAGGAAUACAUCGGAAUCUACUUUUUCGUGGGGGAUAACGUAGGGAAACUUACGCUAAUACCGCAUACGACCUACGGGUGAAAGCAGGGGAUCUUCGGACCUUGCGCGAUUGAAUGAGCCGAUGUCGUAUUAGCUAGUUGGCGGGGUAAAGGCCCACCAAGGCGACGAUCCGUAGAUGGUCUGAGAGGAUGAUCAGCCACACUGGAACGGAGACACGGUCCAGAGUCCUACGAGAGGCAGCAGUGGGGAAUAUUGGACAAUGGGCGAAAGCCUGAUCCAGCCAUACCGCGUGGGUGAAGAAGGCCUUCGGGUUGUAAAGCCCUUUUGUUGGGAAAGAAAAGCAGCAGGUUAAUACCCCGCUGUUCGGACGGUACCCAAAGAAUAAGCACCGGCUAACUUCGU
rnacentral:rRNA from 1 species